CUCCCGGCCGGGCUCUCGGCACGCGGACACGCCGCGCCCGAUCGCCGAGCGGCCACUGCGGGAGCCCACCCGCACCUGCUCGCGUCCUUCCGGGCGCGUCUGUCUUCCCUCCUUUGCUCCGUAAAGGACUGGAAACUAGCGCCCGCCCGGUCUCCUCCGUGGUUUUCUUGAAGGUGCCCGAGGAGGGGUUUCCCCAAAGAGAGCCUGCCCCUGGACUGCCAUCUAAUGAAUAAAUGCUGCGGAAACCAGGUCCUUAAAGCGGGAAACAGCCCAGCGAGAUCUAGAGAGAGGAGUUUGAAAUACGUGGACUUUUAAACAUAGUGAUUGGACCACGUGUCGCCUUUAAUGUGGUCCGGCUUCAUGACUCAGGCUAAUUGAUGUCAACAGUAAAUAAAAAGAAGAUGGCUAAUAAGAAUUGUGGAUGUCGAGAUGUAGAAGUGUUUGUCUCAUAAAUAAUCAGGCUGUCUGCAAGGGGAUUCAUGAGGAGCACAAAACCCAGGAUCUUGGUUACUUCCGGGAGAAGUGGAGCAAACCGCUAAGCUCAUGCAGUGUUCCUGGAGACACGUUCAUCCUCGGAUGGGCUGGCUCUGCUUGCAGCACUGCCUUGUGUGGGAAAGAGCUCAGCAUAAGAAGGAGGCAGAGGCUGGAUCCACACCUACUGGGCGAACUGUCCAAAGAAGCACUGAAUUAACAGAGGCCGGCAUGGUAACAUCUGAGGUCCCUUCCAAUGCCAAGAUCACUAGAUAUUUGGCUUCUACUUCUGGGCUUGGAUAAUUGUGUAUUAUGGCCACUGAAGGGGCCUCCCUUUGCUUUAAAUGAACAGUGAACAGCUUCAAAGUUGAAGAUGUAUUGGGCUUUCCUGGUGGCUCAGAUGGUAAAGAAUCAGCCUGCAAGGCAGGAGACCCAGGUUCAAUCUCUGGAUCGGGAAGAUACCUUGGAGAAGGGAAUGGGGCUACCCACUCCAGUAUUCUUGCCUGGAGAAUUCCAUGAACAGAGGAACCUGACAGGCUACGGUCCAUGGGGUCGCAAAGAGUCAGACGUAACUGAACGACUAACAGUUUCACUUUCUUUCUUUCAAAGUUGAAGAGGUUAUUAGUUUAAUAGGAUAUUGUAUGUAUUUUAUAUUGUAGAAACCCUAAUGAAAUAGCUCCUGAAAGAGGUCCCAAACCGAGUUCCAACAGGUCAGAAAGUCAAGUUAGGAGGUCAGGGAUUGCUUUCAAACCAAUCAUAUUAAGGGGAUGGUUGAGGCAAGUGGGACUCAGGUGGAGGUUAAGAUAAGCAGUGUACUGGUGUGUCCGACAGUGGGCUCUGUCGGAGUAGGGAGUGGGAGCCCUGAUUUUUAGAACUUUCUAAUCUUCCUUGAUUAGAAAAUCAAGGAAAUUCCACUACAGCUAAUUUAAGCAACCAGUGUGAGAUCACUGAACACAGAACUCUAAAGAGAUGGACAGCUGGGUUUUGUGAGACCCUGUGAGCCUGCUGCAGUCCUUGCUGGAUUAAGAUACCCAAGAAUCUUGCAUUACCUUUGUAGCAAAUUAAGUAUGUAUUCGGUAAGGGAUUUUUAAGCAACUCAGUCCAAAAAAAAACAAAAAAAAAAACCCAAUAGCUAUAAACAGGCAAUUCACAGAAGAAACCAGAACAGCCAAUAAGCAGGAAAAUAUACUCAGCAAUCUGGUUGGCAAAAUUAAGAAUUG
rnacentral:lncRNA from 1 species